UCGGCUGAUCUAGUCAGA
rnacentral:snRNA from 1 species